rnacentral:hammerhead_ribozyme from 1 species
GUCUAGCUGACGAGUGCCAAAUAGGAUGAAACGCGCAUCUUAGAU